rnacentral:rRNA from 1 species
UACGUAGGUGGCAAGCGUUGUCCGGAUUUACUGGGCGUAAAGAGCGCGCAGGCGUCGAAUAAGUCGAAUGUGAAAGCCCCCGGCUUAACUGGGGAGGGUCAUUCGAUACUGCUCGACUUGAAGGCAGGAGAGGGAAGUGGAAUUCCCGGUGUAGUGGUGAAAUUCGUAGAUAUUCGGAAGAACACCAGUGGCGAAGGCGGCUCACUGGCCCGGUACUGACGCUGAGAUACGAAAGCGUGGGGAGCAAGA